AAACGGUAGCUAAUACCGCAUAACGUCGCAAGACCAAAGAGGGGGACCUUCGGGCCUCUUGCCAUCAGAUGUGCCCAGAUGGGAUUAGCUAGUAGGUGGGGUAAUGGCUCACCUAGGCGACGAUCCCUAGCUGGUCUGAGAGGAUGACCAGCCACACUGGAACUGAGACACGGUCCAGACUCCUACGGGAGGCAGCAGUGGGGAAUAUUGCACAAUGGGCGCAAGCCUGAUGCAGCCAUGCCGCGUGUGUGAAGAAGGCCUUCGGGUUGUAAAGCACUUUCAGCGAGGAGGAAGGUGGUGAGCUUAAUACGCUCAUCAAUUGACGUUACUCGCAGAAGAAGCACCGGCUAACUCCGUGCCAGCAGCCGCGGUAAUACGGAGGGUGCAAGCGUUAAUCGGAAUUACUGGGCGUAAAGCGCACGCAGGCGGUUUGUUAAGUCAGAUGUGAAAUCCCCGGGCUCAACCUGGGAACUGCAUUUGAAACUGGCAAGCUAGAGUCUCGUAGAGGGGGGUAGAAUUCCAGGUGUAGCGGUGAAAUGCGUAGAGAUCUGGAGGAAUACCGGUGGCGAAGGCGGCCCCCUGGACGAAGACUGACGCUCAGGUGCGAAAGCGUGCGGAGCAAACAGGAUUAGAUACCCUGGUAGUCCACGCUGUAAACGAUGUCGAUUUGGAGGUUGUGCCCUUGAGGCGUGGCUUCCGGAGCUAACGCGUUAAAUCAACCCCCCUGGGGAGUACGGCCGCAAGGUUAAAACUCAAAUGAAUUUGACGGGGGCCCGCACAAGCGGUGGAGCAUGUGGUUUAAUUUGAUGCAACGCGAAGAACCUUACCUACUCUUGACAUCCAGAGAACUUUCCAGAGAUGGAUUGGUGCCUUCGGGAACUCUGAGACAGGUGCUGCAUGGCUGUCGUCAGCUCGUGUUGUGAAAUGUUGGGUUAAGUCCCGCAACGAGCGCAACCCUUAUCCUUUGUUGCCAGCGGUUCGGCCGGGAACUCAAAGGAGACUGCCAGUGAUAAACUGGAGGAAGGUGGGGAUGACGUCAAGUCAUCAUGGCCCUUACGAGUAGGGCUACACACGUGCUACAAUGGCGUAUACAAAGAGAAGCGACCUCGCGAGAGCAAGCGGACCUCAUAAAGUACGUCGUAGUCCGGAUUGGAGUCUGCAACUCGACUCCAUGAAGUCGGAAUCGCUAGUAAUCGUAGAUCAGAAUGCUACGGUGAAUACGUUCCCGGGCCUUGUACACACCGCCCGUCACACCAUGGGAGUGGGUUGCAAAAGAAGUAGGUAGCUUAAC
rnacentral:rRNA from 1 species